GGGGAUGUAAAGGUUUCGACAGGGGUGCGUGUGGUAUAGAUAGCGAGUCGGCGUUCCAUGAGGCCGUUAAACGGUGGGAAAACAUUUAAACGCAGAAGAAAAUUUUGCAUUAGCUGCAUAAGCUACGUCCCUCAUACUUGUGCCUACCAAGUGUGAAUGGACGUCAAACAGUAGGCUGGUCUAAUUUAGUUGUUCAUAUGAAUUAGGCGAGGAGCGAUAGCAACCCGAGAUCUCAAUCAUAGACUGUGCUCGGAGAAGUCUAUAUGGCAACACUCUUGGACAGGGGUUCGACUCCCCUCAUCUCCACCA
rnacentral:tmRNA from 1 species